AUUGAACGCUGGCGGCAUGCCUUACACAUGCAAGUCGAACGGUAACAGGUCUUCGGAUGCUGACGAGUGGCGAACGGGUGAGUAAUACAUCGGAACGUGCCCAGACGUGGGGGAUAAUGAGGCGAAAGCUUUGCUAAUACCGCAUACGAUCUAAGGAUGACAGCAGGGGACCGCAAGGCCUUGCGCGUUUGGAGCGGCCGAUGGCAGAUUAGGUAGUUGGUGGGAUAAAAGCUUACCAAGCCGACGAUCUGUAGCUGGUCUGAGAGGACGACCAGCCACACUGGGACUGAGACACGGCCCAGACUCCUACGGGAGGCAGCAGUGGGGAAUUUUGGACAAUGGGCGAAAGCCUGAUCCAGCAAUGCCGCGUGCAGGAUGAAGGACUUCGGGUUGUAAACUGCUUUUGUACGGAACGAAAAGGCUCUGGCUAAUACCUGGGGCACAUGACGGUACCGUAAGAAUAAGCACCGGCUAACUACGUG
rnacentral:rRNA from 1 species